UUAUCCUGGUGUUACUUUCAUACCCGGUGUCUCUCAUCUCUGUUGUAUUGACUUUCAUUUCAAGGCAUGAUAUAAAAAAGGGCCAGUACGUAUACGUAGUGAUAUGUCGUUGGAUGUCCCACGCUGUCCCAUAAUGCAGUGCGAUUACCACUGCUGUUUACUGGAUGACGUCAUUUCCGUUAUAUACCUGGGUGCACGUGAAACUCCCACACCACUCGGUUGGAUCGCGACUCUCUUGUGGAUCGGCCUGCUGUUACGCUUGGACCAUUGAAACAACAUUGAGAAAAACACUGGACCACGCUACAUUUUCAUUCAUCCCUGGACAUCUGGUGUCUACCUUAGCCCUUUGUGGAGGAACCGACGUAGGGGUCACAGUGAGGCGGAUGCUGCGUAGCCUCCUGGUCAACAGCUUGGCCAGCCAAUUUAACUGGGCUGGAAAGGGGAAAAAACUGCGUUUAAGGACACCAAGAUCCAUGAUGUCCUGUUUGAUGCUCUACAAAAGCAGCUGCCAGGGAGCACACACGCUACUUUUAGUGACACAAUCAAGAAGUGGC